UAAUCCUUGAUUAGUUAUAAAAGGUGGAUUUGUUGGAAAAUCUUUCUAAUCUUUUAUUAAAAUAUUCUUUAAAAAUAAUUUAAAACUUUAAUUUUAGUUUUCAGAAAAAUUUUGAAAAGAAAUUAAAUAAAAAGACUGUAAAGAAAAGAAUUAAAAAAGGCCUAUGGAUUAAGGCGUACAGAGCAUUGUCUUAGAACCGAAAUUGCUCUUCCAUGUGCGAGGCUUCCCUUCAGAUCUAGCAAAAUAUGAGAAAACUCGUCGAAAAUCGGCGUAAAAGAUCAAUUGCAAGAAAGCAGGCUUCCCUUCAGAUCUAGCAAAAUAUGAGAAAACUCGCUGAAAAUCGGCGCAAAAGAUUAAUUGCGAGAAAACAGGAAAAGAAUAAGGUUUUGCUCUUAGAUAUGCCUAGGUUCCGGUUGAACUCACACAACCUCCUCCAAUAAAUAAAUAUAUUACGGCACGAGCGUUUAAAUGAGAGUAUAACUCUUAUUUUCUCCCAAGUAACUAGCUUGAGAAUAAAAGAAUAUAUAAAUACUAACAACACUCUUUUAGUUUCCAAUGUGGGGCUAAAUCUCACAUAUAAAAACUUUAGUUGGCCUCCCAAGCAAGGCCCGUUAAAUAUUGGAUUGCCCAAGAGGCCUAAAAAGUUUUAAAUCACCAAAAAUCCAAUAAAAUUC
rnacentral:lncRNA from 1 species